rnacentral:rRNA from 1 species
AUUGAACGCUGGCGGCAGGCCUAACACAUGCAAGUCGAGCGGUAGAGAGAAGCUUGCUUCUCUUGAGAGCGGCGGACGGGUGAGUAAUGCCUAGGAAUCUGCCUGGUCGUGGGGGAUAACGUUCGGACACGGACGCUAAUACCGCAUACGCCCUACGGGAGAAAGCAGGGGACCAUCGGGCCUUGCGCUACCAGCUGAGCCUAGGUCGGAUUAGCUAGUUGGUGGGGUAAUGGCUCACCAAGGCGACGAUCCGUAACUGGUCUGAGAGGAUGAUCAGUCACACUGGAACUGAGACACGGUCCAGACUCCUACGGGAGGCAGCAGUGGGGAAUAUUGGACAAUGGGCGAAAGCCUGAUCCAGCCAUGCCGCGUGUGUGAAGAAGGUCUUCGGAUUGUAAAGCACUUUAAGUUGGGAGGAAGGGCAGUAAAUUAAUACUUUGCUGUUUUGACGUUACCGACAGAAUAAGCACCGGCUAACUCUGUG